GAGGGUGUGGCUCAAGUGGUAGAGCUCCUGUCUAGCAAGCAUGAGGUUCUGAGUUCAAACCUCAGCACCACCA
rnacentral:tRNA from 1 species